rnacentral:lncRNA from 1 species
ACUAAAUGGAGGAAUAUCAUUCUUCAUAUGGUCCCCUUCAAAUAAUUCCUACCACUGCGGGGAUAUUUUUUUCUAGCAGAUCAUCUUCAUCGCUACUUUCUAUAAUUAAUAAAAAAUAAGUGAUAGGUACCUUGGAUCUGGAUAUAAUCAUUCACUUCAUAUAGAUUUCAGCAAUCCAUCCUUGGAUUCAUGUUUUGAUGGCCCUUUCCCCUAAGACGGACAUCAACAGCCUGAUGUUGGUUGGUGUAGAUCUUCUCUUGGUGGUGGGGGUGACCCACCAUUUGACAUGGAUUUCGUACUUCUACCUCCACUACUUUUAGAUAAUGGUUGAUCACGUCAACCCUAUUUGAUAGGUCUUGAAGUACUGCCAUUACAUCUGCCAA